UGUCUUACCUGGCAGGGGAGAUACCUUGAUCAUGAAGAAGGUUUUCCCAGGGUGAGGCUCAUCCUUUGCACUCUGGGUGUGCUCACCCCUGCAAUUUCCCCAAAGGUGGGAAACUCGACUGCAUAAUUGGUGGUAAUUGGUGGGCAAUGGAGUCUUUUCUAG